rnacentral:rRNA from 1 species
UACGUAGGUGGCGAGCGUUGUCCGGAAUUACUGGGUGUAAAGGGCGUGUAGGCGGGGAUGUAAGUCAGAUGUGAAAUACCGAGGCUUAACUUCGGGGCUGCAUCUGAAACUAUGUCUCUUGAGUGUCGGAGAGGAAAGCGGAAUUCCCAGUGUAGCGGUGAAAUGCGUAGAUAUUGGGAGGAACACCAGUGGCGAAGGCGGCUUUCUGGACGAUAACUGACGCUGAGGCGCGAAAGCGUGGGGAGCAAACAGG